rnacentral:rRNA from 1 species
CAGUAGCCACGGUAAUACGGAGGAUCCGAGCGUUAUCCGGAUUUAUUGGGUUUAAAGGGUGCGUAGGCGGCUUUUUAAGUCAGGGGUGAAAGACGGUAGCUUAACUAUCGCAGUGCCUUUGAUACUGAAGAGCUUGAAUGUACUUGAGGUAGGCGGAAUGUGACAAGUAGCGGUGAAAUGCAUAGAUAUGUCACAGAACACCAAUUGUGAAGGCAGCUUACUAUGGUUUUAUUGACACUGAGGCACGAAAGCGUGGGGAUCAAACAGGAUUAGAUACCCGAGUAGUCCCGUCUCUUAUACA